GAAUCCCAAUUCUCUUGGAUCCUGCGUCAGAACCCCAUUCUAUUGGGUCCUGCCUUAGGACCCAAUUUUCUUGGGUCUUGUGUCAGGACCCAAAGCUAAUGGGUCUC
rnacentral:pre_miRNA from 1 species